UGAAAAUGUUUUGUUUCCUUUAGAAUUAAAAUGGCACCAUUGAGUGUAAUAAUUAAGGUGGGCCCACUUUGAUUUAAAAGUGGUCACAUUGAUGUCUUAUGUAAAUUUAAAAGGCACGUACCAGCAAGAAACAAAUACAAACACUUUUACAUUUCAGAUGGUUCUUUCUUCCACUUUGGGAAAUUUUACAUAAACUUUAAGUAAAUUCCUUGAGCAUGAACGUCUCCAGCAAUUUAACCUUGGAGGGAGGUUGUUUUGAAGAGGAAACGUGACUAGCGAUAUAAGGUAACGACGUGACAUUGGGAGAGAGCAAGUGAACGAUAACAUAGCUAAACGACAAAGGUAUGUGAGGCUAGUCCUUUCUUUCUAAUGGCAUGAAUCCUAUAACAUAAGUUCUUUUCCUCUUCAUGAGUUCCUAUUUUCCAGAAAGCUAGAAGCCUAAGUCCAUAAAUGUCUAUAUAAGAUAAGAGAUAAGAGAUAUGAUAUGAUGAUGCCAUAUUGAUAAUGAUGCUAUUUAUUUCUUACACUCACCUUAUGUACUAAUUCCUUCAAGGUGAGGCAGAAUGUCAAUAAUUGCUCCAUAAUGAAAUCGGGGGAUCACGGCCUUAUGCCACCCCGACAGAGUACAGUUGAUCUUGAGUCUUAUGCAUGUACUAUGAUAAGCAUAUUAUUACAAGUAUUUUUUUAUGAGCAUGUCAUGAUCAUAUUACACCGCGCCUAGUUGGCCGGGCAGUCACCGCCAAGGCGGGCAGCUAUACGGAUACACUAUGACCUUUUGGCAUGGGCAGACACCACUAGUGGGCGGCAUGAGAUGGUACCCCGGACGUGGGAGGCCUGGACGCGGGCUAAUGUUAUUGAUUAUCACACCGUUCCGAUAUGGACGGGCAGCUUGCAUAUUAUGCAUAUAUGAGAUUAUGAUGAGUAUGAGUAGACAGGGAGGUGAGCUUGGUCAAGACCCUUAGUAGCUGUCAGCUGAUUGAGAGCACUCCGUUGUCCGGAGGUGCUUAUGAUUCUUCUUUUGGUAUAUAUGCAUAUUUUGGGCACGACGGAGUCUUGUUCCGUCUAUAUGUUUAGUAUGUCAGUAGAGGCUCGUAGAUACGCAGUGUGGGUCAGAUGGUCUCACAAGAUGUUAUUAUUAUGUAUAUAUUAUUUUGAUGGCCGAGAGGCAAAUGUAUAUAAGUAUUUAUGUUUCUAUAUAAAAUAUGAUUUUCCUACAAUUCGUGUAUAAAAUUGGUAAAAGAGCACUAAAUG